rnacentral:lncRNA from 1 species
AUGGUUGGGGGCAUCUGGGCUGAACAUCGUGUGUCCCAGGGGCACCGGGGUUUCUCUGUCAACUCAAGGGAGAUGCCCCAGCCAGUGGGGACGGGAGGGGAGGCUGUCUCACUCGUUCUGUUUGGAGGAGCUCCAACCAGGGAGGAGGAUCCUGACGAGGGCCCAGGGCUGGGCCGGGGGACAGAGGGCGUUGAGCAGCCUCAGCCAUCCUGCCUGUGGAGCGGAUCACCCUUGGUGGGCAUCUCCCCUCCUGUGUUCUCUGUGACCCCACAGACAAUUCCUGGAUCCCAAGGCCACAAGUGCCCCCAGCUGUGUGAGCAGCUCCUGUCCCCGCUGUGGGUACGCCAGGGCCAGCCGUCCCAAGGCCUCCUCCGUGGCGUCCCCAGCUCCCGAGGAGACAGCGGGAUGUGCAGGGCUGGCAGGCGUUCUCAGGCCUGCAGACGUCAGGGGCUUUCCUUGGGCUCAGGCCGCUCGGCUGCGUUGGUGGCCGCCCGAGCUCACGGGCUCUGGGCAGGGGCACCCUCUGUCAGCUGUGCGGCCCCAGCCCAAGGAAAGCUGCCGGACCCCAGAUUUGGAGGCCUGGGCCCAGGGCCCCGUCUCACCACGGGGAGUGGGCAAGUGGAUGCUGGAGCUCUUGGCUGCAGAAGCUCUGGGGAAGGCUGGCCAAGAUGCAGAACCUGGAAGUUGCCCGGCCCAGAGGGCACCAGUGGGAAUCGGGGCCUGGGGAGGGGUGGCGGCCAGCUGGGGCCAAGCAGGCUCCGAGGCUGCCAGUGCGCCGGGCGUAGCUCCCGCCCCACCUCCCCCCAGGGCUGCCGAGCCAGGUCAGGGCCGGGGGCGGGGGGGGGAUGGUGGGCAGCUUGCAGGGGAAACAGGGUCCGAGGUCUGGCCCCUCCGUCCCCACCCCGGGUGCCGCAUGUCCAGUGUGGUGCAGGGCCCGGCACUGGCCCUUGGUGUCUGGGCCAAGCUGGCAUGUCCUUAGCGCCUCCUACACCCCAUCUCUUCUCACUUUGGCUGUCCCCAGGGCCAAGGACUCAGUGGGCCCUGGUCAGGGGAGGUGAGUGA